rnacentral:rRNA from 1 species
CGCCUCUUGCUUAAACAUAAGAGGUCCAGCCUGCCCAGUGAUAACAUUUAACGGCCGCGGUAUUCUGACCGUGCGAAGGUAGCAUAAUCACUUGUUCCUUAAAUAGGGACUCGUAUCAACGGCAUCACGAGGGCUAUACUGUCUCCCCUAUCCAAUCAGUGAAACUGAUCCCCCCGUGAAGAAGCGGGGAUUUAAUUAUAAGACGAGAAGACCCCAUGGAGCUUUAAACCCAACAUGCACCCCUUCACUCAAACAUCCACUCAACCUAGGACCCUGUAUGUUGGUUUUGGGCUGGGGGGACCACGGAGAAAAAUCAAACCUCCACAACAAAUGGGCUAAUACCCUUAUCCACGAUCUACAAAUCCAAGAAUCACUAAUAUGAUGUUUAAUGACCCGAUAACUCGAUCAAUGAACCAAGUUACCCUGGGGAUAACAGCGCAAUCCACUCCAAGAGCCCCUAUCGACAAGUGGGUUUACGACCUCGAUGUUGGAUCAGGGUAUCCUAGUGGUGCAACCGCUACUAAAGGUUCGUUUGUUCAACGAUUAAAACCCU